rnacentral:rRNA from 1 species
AUUGAACGCUGGCGGUAUGCCUAACACAUGCAAGUCGAGCGGAAACGAUGGGAGCUUGCUCCCAGGCGUCGAGCGGCGGACGGGUGAGUAACGCGUGGGAAUCUAUCCAGUAGCGGGGGAUAGCCCGGGGAAACCCGGAUUAAUACCGCAUACGCCCUACGGGGGAAAGCAGGGGAUCUUCGGACCUUGCACUAUUGGGUGAGCCCGCGUCGGAUUAGCUAGUUGGUGGGGUAAAGGCCUACCAAGGCGACGAUCCGUAGCUGGUCUGAGAGGAUGAUCAGCCACACUGGGACUGAGACACGGCCCAGACUCCUACGGGAGGCAGCAGUGGGGAAUAUUGCACAAUGGGCGCAAGCCUGAUGCAGCCAUGCCGCGUGUGUGAAGAAGGCUCUAGGGUUGUAAAGCACUUUAAGCGAGGAGGAAAGGAUUGUAGUUAAUAGCUACGAUCUGUGACGUUACUCGCAGAAUAAGCACCGGCUAACUCCGUGCCAGCAGCCGCGGUAAUACGGAGGGUGCAAGCGUUAAUCGGAAUUACUGGGCGUAAAGCGCGCGUAGGCGGCUAUUUAAGCUAGAUGUGAAAGCCCUGGGCUCAACCUGGGAACUGCAUUUAGAACUGAAUAGCUAGAGUAUGGUAGAGGAGUGUGGAAUUUCAGGUGUAGCGGUGAAAUGCGUAGAGAUCUGAAGGAACAUCAGUGGCGAAGGCGACACUCUGGACCAAUACUGACGCUGAGGUGCGAAAGCGUGGGUAGCAAACAGGAUUAGAUACCCUGGUAGUCCACGCCGUAAACGAUGCUACUAGCCGUUGGGUUCCUUGAGGACUUAGUGGCGCAGCUAACGCAUUAAGUAGACCGCCUGGGGAGUACGGCCGCAAGGUUAAAACUCAAAUGAAUUGACGGGGGCCCGCACAAGCGGUGGAGCAUGUGGUUUAAUUCGAUGCAACGCGAAGAACCUUACCAGCUCUUGACAUCCUGCGAACUCUCUAGAGAUAGAUUGGUGCCUUCGGGAACGCAGUGACAGGUGCUGCAUGGCUUUCGUCAGCUCGUGUCGUGAGAUGUUGGGUUAAGUCCCGCAACGAGCGCAACCCUUGUCCUUAGUUGCCAGCACGUAAUGGUGGGAACUCUAAGGAGACUGCCGGUGACAAACCGGAGGAAGGUGGGGACGACGUCAAGUCAUCAUGGCCCUUACGUCUUGGGCUACACACGUGCUACAAUGGGGAAUACAAAGGGUUGCCAAGCAGCGAUGUGGAGCUAAUCCCAUAAAAUUUCUCGUAGUCCGGAUUGGAGUCUGCAACUCGACUCCAAGAAGUCGGAAUCGCUAGUAAUCGUGAAUCAGAAUGUCACGGUGAAUACGUUCCCGGGCCUUGUACACACCGCCUGUCACACCAUGGGAGUGGGUUGCUCCAGAAGUGGUUAGCCUAACCUUCGGGAGGGCGAUCACCACGGAGUGAUUCAUGACUGGGGUG